GACGUAGGAGGCGAGCGUUAUCCGGAUUCACUGGGCGUAAAGCGCAUGUAGGCGGCUCGAUAAGUCAUGUGUUAAAGCCCCUGGCUCAACUGGGGGAGGUCAUGUGAGACUAUCGGACUGGAGGGCAGUAGAGGCACGUGGAACUCCCGGUGUAGCGGUGGAAUGCGUAGAGAUCGGGAAGAACACCCGUGGCGAAGGCGACGUGCUGGGCUGCACCUGACGCUGAGAUGCGAAAGUGUGGGGAGCAAACGGGAUUAGAUACCCCGGUAGUCCACACUGUAAACGAUGAACCCUAGGUGUGGGGGGGUUACCCUCCGUGCCGAAGCCAACGCGUUAAGGGUUCCGCCUGGGGACUAUGAGCGCAAGCUUAAA
rnacentral:rRNA from 1 species